GACUUACGACCCAACAUUAGAACCAAAUUCAACCGAACAUUAUGCCAUUUUCGCAUGGCUAAAAGUUUACAUACCAAAUUUCAACAAAACAUAUUAGCCUAUACAUGCCGAAAUAUUCUCUUAGACCAACUAAGAAGAAAAUACCAAAGGUUGCUAGCCGGUGUGAUGACUUCGACGACGGCACGAUCACGCAAAAAGAGACGAGUCCAAGAAACCUAGAAUAGGUGACAAGCAAACACCGAAUGAGUAUAUAACUCAGUAAGCCAUAAGCAUUCCACAACCAUCCAUUAAUAAAAUUAUCACAACAAGAAACAAUGAAAUGAGGUUAAGUACUCCAUCCAUACCAAACUAUACCAUAGUUCCUUAAACCCUAUGGUUCAAUCUCAUACCAAGUCCUACAUUGACCUUUCAUACAUCAUUUUAUUUUCGUUAUAAUCAUACAAUUAAACGAACUUUCACCUAUUCCACAAUGAACCUAUUGUACGUGACUUCAACUAUAAUCGUCACAUAGGUUCAAAACUUACCAAGCUCAACUCCAAAUAUAAACAUAGCGCCUAUUAGCCAUGAACUCAAGGUACUUACCUUUUUCCACUGUCCAAAAUUGACUCGGUAAAGUCGCACCCUUCAUGUAAAUAAUUUAUAGAAAAUAUAUAUUGGGUUGCACACAUAACGUUUAGUAAUCAACCACGCACACUUAGUGCCAUGCACUUUAAACUCACACACUUAGUGCCAUGCAUUUCAAGUUCGCACACUUACCUUUUCCGCUGUCCAAAAUCGACUCGGUAAAGUCACACCCUUAAUGUAAAUAAUUUAUAGAAAAUAUAUAUUGGGUUCGCACACAUAGUGCUUAAUAAUCAACCGCGCACACUUAGUGCCAUGUACUUUAAACUCGCACACUUAGUGCUGUACAAUUUAAACCCGCACACUUAGUGUCAAUCUCAUGACCGUGAACACUUAUUGCCCGCACACUUAGUGCCGAAAACCAGCCACUCUAUAGGCUUCACUUCCUUUUUACAUUCGACAAAUUUCAUCUCUACUUACAUAUACAUUUGUAUACAUUUCAUCUCAUUAAACACAAUGGUAUAGGUAUUACGAUCAUUUAAAUCAAUACCAAAGAUAUGCUUAAUGACUUACUUGUGUUGGGUAAGAUGGUUCCAACUCGGCUACUCGAUGAUCUUUU
rnacentral:lncRNA from 1 species